AGAGUUCGAUUCUGGCUCAGGAUGAACGCUGGCGGCGUGCCUAAUACAUGCAAGUCGAACGAGUUCUGAUUAUUGAAAGGUGCUUGCAUCUUGAUUUAAUUUUGAACGAGUGGCGGACGGGUGAGUAACACGUGGGUAACCUGCCCUUAAGUGGGGGAUAACAUUUGGAAACAGAUGCUAAUACCGCAUAAAUCCAAGAACCGCAUGGUUCUUGGCUGAAAGAUGGCGUAAGCUAUCGCUUUUGGAUGGACCCGCGGCGUAUUAGCUAGUUGGUGAGGUAACGGCUCACCAAGGCAAUGAUACGUAGCCGAACUGAGAGGUUGAUCGGCCACAUUGGGACUGAGACACGGCCCAA
rnacentral:rRNA from 1 species